rnacentral:rRNA from 1 species
UAGAUACCCUGUAGUCACGCCCUAAACGAUGUCAACUAGCUGUUGGGCUUCGGGCCUUGUAGCGCAGCUAACGCGUGAAGUUGACCGCCUGGGGAGUACGGUCGCAAGAUUAAAACUCAAAGGAAUUGACGGGGACCCGCACAAGCGGUGGAUGAUGUGGAUUAAUUCGAUGCAACGCGAAAAACCUUACCUACCCUUGACAUGUCUGGAAUCCCGAAGAGAUUUGGGAGUACUCGCAAGAGAACCGGAACACAGGUGCUGCAUGGCUGUCGUCAGCUCGUGUCGUGAGAUGUUGGGUUAAGUCCCGCAACGAGCGCAACCCUUGUCAUUAGUUGCUACGAAAGGGCACUCUAAUGAGACUGCCGGUGACAAACCGGAGGAAGGUGGGGAUGACGUCAAGUCCUCAUGGCCCUUAUGGGUAGGGCUUCACACGUCAUACAAUGGUCGGGACAGAGGGUCGCCAACCCGCGAGGGGGAGCCAAUCCCAGAAACCCGAUCGUAGUCCGGAUCGCAGUCUGCAACUCGACUGCGUGAAGUCGGAAUCGCUAGUAAUCGCGGAUCAGCAUGUCGCGGUGAAUACGUUCCCGGGUCUUGUACACACCGCCCGUCACACCAUGGGAGUGGGUUUUACCAGAAGUAGUUAGCCUAACCGUAAGGAGGGCGAUUACCACGGUAGGAUUCAUGACUGGGGUGAAGUCGUAACAAGGUAGCCGUAUCGGAAGGUGCGGUUGGAUCACCUCCUU